rnacentral:rRNA from 1 species
AUUGAACGCUGGCGGCAGGCCUAACACAUGCAAGUCGAACGGUAACAGGAAACAGCUUGCUGUUUCGCUGACGAGUGGCGGACGGGUGAGUAAUGUCUGGGAAACUGCCUGAUGGAGGGGGAUAACUACUGGAAACGGUAGCUAAUACCGCAUAAAGUCGCAAGACCAAAGAGGGGGACCUUCGGGCCUCUUGCCAUCGGAAGUGCCCAGAUGGGAUUAGCUAGUAGGUGGGGUAACGGCUCACCGAGGCGACGAUCCCUAGCUGGUCUGAGGGGAUGACCAGCCACACUGGAACUGAGACACGGUCCAGACUCCUACGGGAGGCAGCAGUGGGGAAUAUUGCACAAUGGGCGCAAGCCUGAUGCAGCCAUGUCGCGUGUAUGAAGAAGGCCUUCGGGUUGUAAAGUACUUUCAGCGGGGAGGAAGGGAGUAAAGUUAAUACCUUUGCUCAUUGACGUUACCCGCAGAAGAAGCACCGGCUAACUCCGUGCCAGCCGCCGCCGUAA